ACAGGAACAGAGAGAUGUGAUCCGAGUGUCCGAAGUGGGGGCGGGGUGAAGCCCUGUAAGCACCCCGUAUAUUACUGUAAACAUGAUCCAAUGUGUUCUUCUCACGGGUGGGAAUGUCCACAUGUUAGUAAUAUUUUGGGAAUACAGUCCGUAAAUUGCACUGAUUAAAGUCGCCAGUGGCAAUAAAAACAGCAUCAGGAUGAGCUGUCUCUGAUGCGCUGAUGACGUCAUGGAGUUUGCCGAGUGCUGCUGUGGGAUUGGCUCGCAGGGGGAUGUAAACAGCGGCCAAAAACACAGCAGUAAAUUCCCUUGGUAGAUAAUAGGGGCGGCAUUUUAGCAGUAAAAACUCCGUGUCUGGCGAACAGUACUUAUGAACAGUCAGAAUGUCUCCGCACCACGAUCUGUUGAUAAACACACACACAUCUCCUCUGGCCUUUCUGGAGGCUGCAGUCCGGUCUCCUCUGUGUACGGAGUGAGUCUGCAGCUGAACGGCGCAUCCCGGGACUUCGUCUGAGAACGAGGUCUCAGUGAAAAUCAGAGCACAGCACUCUCUCACUUCCCAUUGUGUUGUAAUCCUGGCUCUUAGCUCGUCCAGUUUAUUUUCCAGAGACUGCACGUUAGCUAGUAAGAGGCUGGGUAGUGGUGGUCAGCUAGCCCAGGCUUUUAGCCUAGCAUGGAGCCCCCUCGCCUCUUGCCUCGCUUAUGUCGUCGUCUCUUAAGCGCUCUUCUGGGGUCAGCUGGUUCACUCGAGCCUUGGUGAGCUUGGCAUAGCAGCACAUGAACCACUUCUGCAUCUGCUGUAGGUUCUGGUUGGAUCGGCCCUCCAGCCUGCAGCACAGAGAAGAAGAGGACUACCAUCACAACUCGCAAGAUGAGAGAACUGGGUCAGCUGGAUGAACCCUAACCCACGACAGCAAUCUGACAGUGUUCUCCAGCUCCUCCUGGGGAAUCCUGAGGUGUUCCCAGGUCAGAUGAGAUAUACAAUCCCUCCAGCAAGUUCUGCAUCUACCCCGGGUCAUACCCUGAAAACCUCCAAAGGAAGGUCCUGAGGAGAAGCCGUAGCCACAUCAGCUCGUUCCCUUUGGCUUGGAGGAGCAGUGACUCUAUUCUGAGCUCCUCCAGAUGUCCAGCUCCUCACCACAUCUCUAAGGCUGAGCCCAGACAUCCUACAGGGGAAGCUGUAAACCCAUUUGUUUAGUCAUAGCACAGACCUCGUGACAGUAAGUAAGGGUUGGAACAUACACCACCAGUCAAAAGUUUGGAGUCAGACAACUCCAUGUUCUCCAUGAAAACUCCCACUUUUAUCCAUGUGCUAACAUAACUGCACAAGGGUUUUCUAAUCAUCAAUGAGCCUUUCAACAGCAUUAGCUAACACAAUGUAGCAUUAGAACACAGGAGUGAUGGUUGCUGGAAAUGUUCCUCUGUACCCCUAUGGAGAUAUUCCAUUAAAAAUCAGCUGUUUACAGCUAGAACAGUCAUUUAGCACAUUAACAAUGUCUACACUGGAUUUAUCACUCAUUUAGUGUUAUCUUCAUUGAAAAAACUGCUUUUCUUUCAAAAAUAAGGACAUUUCUAAGUGACCCCAGACUUUUGAAUGAAGGUGUGGAAUAUUACCAAUGCUGCUCCCAUCCAUCUGUCCAUUUUAUGCUCCUUUUUAUCAUCAUUUCUGAUUAAGCUCCUGAGACACAUGGACUCCUUUGGUCCAAACAACAAGCCACCAUUUUCCUGUAGCCUCAGAUUUGGAACUCUUAGAAAUGAUCUCCUGUCUGGUUCAAAGUGCGGUUCUGGAGGAUAAUUUGAUAACUUGAAUCUUUUUUUUUUUAAAGUUGUUCUGCUAAUUUAACAAAUAUUGUUGAAGAUAAAAUGCUUUGUGUUUUCUGAAGAGGGAUAUGAUCGUAAAAGUUUGAAAACCACUUGUGUUGACAAAGCUAAACACAUAAACUGAUGCUGACGGGGCAGUGAAAGGAAUGGGUUAAGGUCAGGAUUAGAUGAAGUAUUCAGGUUAAGAAUAAGCUGAGAGUGAAGGUCACUGUGUUAAAGUGGGUGAUUCAUUUUAGGUUGAAGGAUCUGGGAAGCAGGAUUAGAAGAAUCCUUUCUGUGAGAACAUGUGUGCAUGCAGGAUCAGUGUUCUUGAGAGGCCCUCGACCUUCUCCCUCCAGUUUCAGCACUCAUAUCCUGCACAGUGUGGUCGAGGGGCCCUGGUCCCUCCGGCUUCUCUUUGUGUAUUACAGCUGGAUAAAGGAGCCUACUGUCCUGCCCUGCUCUGCUUUACCACAGUCCUCUUCCUGCAUAUCAUCACCUCAACAUCACUGUGAUGGACAGGCAGCAGGGUGAAAAACGAGAGAGAAAACACGAGAAAAUACAGGGAGGCGAAAAAGAGGGAAGGACAGAUGCAGGAGACGAACAAAAACACCACAGCUUAGAAGAGCAUCUAGAAAAGAAAAUGAUUGGAAACAGACAAGGAGGUUUGAGAGAUAAACAGGCUGAAAAUGAUGAUGAAGUCACUGAAUGGAGAAUGCCAGAGUAAAGAUAAGUGAAAAGGAAAGAUAGAAUCAUUUAAAGCAUCAGUUCAAUGUAAUGUCCAAAGAAAGGAGCAUAAAAUAAACAAGAGGAAACAAUGCAUGAAGCUCUCUGGUCAACAUUAAGACGUAGCGGUGUGUCCUCAGUGCAGGAGAUGGAGCUCAUCGGUGGACAUCUGUUGCUGCUCACAGCUGUUCAGCAGCCGUUGGUGACAGCAGCCGUCAGUGAGGAAUCCUCCUGUCAGAGCAAUUGGAGAAAUAUGAGCAGAAUGCUAAUUGUUAGAAGCUAACGGAGCAUGGGAAAUAUGGCAGGAAUGCUAAUGAUGGUUAAUAGAGAUUAUACCCAGGUGGGAGUGUAAGUUAUGCCCUGGAACAAAGGAGGAUUUAGGGGAAGAUGAUGGGAUGGCCAUGCAUACACACUGAACGGACAGUCUUCAAAGCAAAUGCUUUUUUCCACAAAAUGAUUCUGUGAUUGAUUGAUGAGUGAAUCCAGGUGAAAGCUGUGGUUUCCCUGUGGUCACAGUCUAACUCUGCUUUUCAGGAUUAUUCCUCACCUGCAGCACCUCUCCUCUGGUUUAUUAGGAAGUUCGCUUGUCAGUCACUGACACAUGUUUAGUGUGAGGAGUGGUUUUCUGACUUCUGUGAUAAUCCACACUACCAUUCAAAAGUUUGGGGUCAUCCUAAGACAAUUUAGUGUUUUCAAUGAAAACUCCCAAUAUUUCAAAGAUGUUCAUUUUGUCGUUUUUUAUAGUUCCAUCCAUUCUCUAUACACCGCUUCAUCCUCACUCGGGUCGCGGGGUGCUGGAGUCUAUCCCAGCUGACUCGGGUGAAGGCAGGGGACACCCUGGACAGGUCACCAGUCUGUCACAGGGCUACAUAUACAGACACACAAUCACACCAUAGACUGUAUAUAAAGAUGGACGUAGCAUCUGGCUCCAAAAAUGAAGCCCACCCGGAAGUGUCAAAAACUUGCAAUAUCACGCCGUCCACUAGGGUUGGCUCCAAAAAGCUUUUUCUCCAUAGACCCUAAUUCAUUUUUGGAAAAAAAUAAAUUUGAUAGACUGAUUUUCUACAGCUCAGGAUUUUUUUCCCGUUAGUUUUCAUGGUCAAAAUGAGAGAUCAGGUGGCCGAUCUUAAAAUAAAUAAAUACUGAAUUUUAAAUAAAUCGUUAAAGUUGGCGGAGCCAAGGGGCGUGGCUAUACUUGAUAGACAGUCUUGUCUGGAAUGAUUGACAGCAACAGAAGCCUCUGCAGUAAAAUGUGGGCGGGAUAAGAGAGUCUUCAGCUCUCAGUCUGGCCUGCCCAUAGACUGGUCCUGCCCCUAGUUGCUCUCCGGUCCAGCCUGUUUGAUGACGUUUUUUUCGUCACUGGCUCCAAAAAAUCCAAAAUGGUGACCAGGAAGUAGCAAAAUCCGGGCUUCAUUUUCUCUGCAUUGAAACCAACGGGUGGCGUCACGGUUAGUUCACGCCUGAAUCACACUCACAUUCACACCUACGGACAAUUUAGAGUAAUCAGUUAACUUCAGCAUAUUUUUGGACUGUGGAAGGAAGCUGGAGUACCCGGAGAAAACCCACGCAUGCACAGGGAGAACAUGCAAACUCCAUGCAGAAACAUCCCAGGCCCAGGCCGGGAUUUGAACCAGGGAUCUUCUUGCUGAAAGGCAAAAGUGCUAACCACUACAGCACUGUGCAGCCCCAUUUUUAUAGUUUUCCUACGAAAACUCCCAUUUUUAUCCAUGUGCAAACAUAACUGAACAAGGGUUUUCUAAUCAUCAGUGAGCCUUUCAACACCAUUAGCUAACACAAUGUAGCAUUAGAACACAGGAGUGAUGGUUGCUGGAAAUGUUCCUCUGUACCCCUAUGGAGAUAUUCCAUUAAAAAUCAGCUGUUUACAGCUACAACAGUCAUUUACCACAUUAACAAUGUCUACACUGGAUUUAUCAUUCAUUUAAUGGUAUCUUCGUUGAAAAAAAAUGGCUUUUCUUUUAAAAAUAAGAACAUUUCUAAGUGACUCCAGACUUUUGAACGGUAGUGUAUGGAUGGAUAUUAUUACACCUCAUCAUGUAAAACUGUGAAUAAGCAGCUGCUUAUGAAUACAUCUAACACAGAGAAACAUAACUGUUCAUUACCAACUGCUUCUGUCAACCUCAGAAAUGUAAAAGACAGUUUGUGGUCUUUCUGAAAUCUGGGGCUGCAGAAGUGUUGAUCGUUCCGUGUGUCGCCAUGAUGUCAGUCUGUCUAUCAUUUCCAUUCUCUGUCUGCCUCAUCCUCUCUUCACAUUAAUUUUUCCAGUUGUGUCGAUGUUCCAGGGUGUCUUUCCUUAAGAUGUGUCCAAAAAAUGUUUCUUCCCAUUUCCUAAUCUAAUCCUUAAAAGAGAAUAAAAACGGAGCAAGCAAGAUAAAGAAGAUAAUCUAAAUAAUCAUUCCAUAAAGCAGAAGGGAAACAAAUCAAGGACAUGAGGGGCUAGCAGGCCCUGAAUGUAAUCUGUAACAAGGAGGUUUAAUGCUUCAAACAUGAAGAAUGAAAUAUAUCUUAAGCUCAAUACAGGAUUUUACAGGUAGCUGGGAUUUAGAUCCCAGCAGCGCAUUCUGAACAGUUUGGAUUGGGUGAAUAAAGUUCACGUUCAUGAGAAA